AAAAGAGAAAGAGAAUUGCUUUGGCUUCGGCGGAAGACGAAAAGGUUUAAAUACAGGCUACGAGUUCUCCUCGUAGGGUCUCUCUUUCUUGGC
rfam:Red clover necrotic mosaic virus (RCNMV) RNA2